rnacentral:rRNA from 1 species
CACCAGGCGCGAAAACUCUACAAUGCAGGCAACUGCGAUAGGGGAACAUCGAGUGGCGUCCAUAUUGGAUGUCUGUCCUCCCGCCUAAAAAGCGGGAGUUAGCAAGGGCCGGGCAAGACCGGUGCCAGCCGCCGCGGUAAUACCGGCGGCUCGAGUGGUGGCCGAUAUUAUUGAGUCUAAAGGGUCCGUAGCCGGCUUUGCAAGUCUCUCGGGAAAUCCAGCGGCUUAACCGUUGGUCGUCCGGGGGGUACUACAUUGCUUGGGACUGGGAGAGGUAGGAGGUACUCAGGGGGUAGGAGUGAAAUCCUGUAAUCCUUUGGGGACCACCGGUGGCGAAGGCGUCCUACCAGAACAGGUCCGACGGUGAGGGACGAAAGCUAGGGGCACGAACCGGAUUAGAUACCCGGGUAGUCCUAGCCGUAAACGAUGCUCGCUAGGUGUCACAACAGUCGUGAACUGUUGUGGUGCCGUAGGGAAGCCGUGAAGCGAGCCACUUGGGAAGUACGACCGCAAGGUUAAACUUAAAGGAAUUGGCGGGGGAGCAC